GACGAACGCUGGCGGCGCGCUUAACACAUGCAAGUCCAACGGAAAGGCCUGCUUUCCCUUGUGGAUUGCGGGUACUCGAGUGGCGAACGGGUGAGUAACACGUGAGUGAUCUGCCCCCAACUUGGGUAUAAGCCUGGGAAACUGGGUCUAAUUCCCGAUAGGACUGCAGGGUGGUGCCUGUGGUGGAUAACGAUUUUCUAGUGGUUGGGGAUGAGCUCGCGGCCUAUCAGCUUGUUGGUGGGGUAAUGGCCUACCAAGGCGGCGACGGGUAGCCGGCCUGGGAGGGUGGACGGCCACAUUGGGACUGAGAUACGGCCCAGACUCCUACGGGAGGCAGCAGUGGGGAAUAUUGCACAAUGGGCGGAAGCCUGAUGCAGCGACGCCGCGUGGGGGAUGACGGCCUUCGGGUUGUAAACUCCUUUCGACCGCGAGGAAGCCACCUGGUUGGAAGGGUGGUGACGGUAGUGGUAGAAGAAGCACCGGCUAACUACGUG
rnacentral:rRNA from 1 species